UCCCCCACCGGUGAGACACGUGGAAAUAGGGGUGUGACAACUUGAUCGCAGCAGUUUUAGCAUAUCUAACCACACCGUGCUCCCUAUUGGUCAAGAUGUGAAUUUACAACUGUUGAAAGCUAUCGAGGAAUCUGAGAUAAUUUGGCAGGGACGAGAGAAAAUUCAUAUUGGAAUUUGGUGAACAACUUGAGAAGAUGCAACGACCACAAGAUGCACCUUGGAAUUUGGCAUCCGCAGCAUCUAAACACUACGCCGGCCCGAUGGGCUUUUCACCGGUUUUACGGUCUGGCCAGCCAGUCCGGUCCGACCUUCAAAACAUUGAUUUUGUGUAUAAUGGGUCAUGUUAAGUUGAUAACUGUUUUAUGCACACCAGGUGUUUAAUGAAAUUCUUGAACCAAAACCCACCAUUUUGAUAUUGAUCAUGUUAAGUUGAUAGUUCUUUUAUGUGCACCAGGUGUUUGAUGAAAUGCUUGUACCAAAACUCACCAUUUUGUGUUUAAAUGGUAUGUAUAGUUUGAUAUUAUUGGUCAUGUUAAGUUGAUAGUUUUUUAUGCA